UGCCGGCAGAGACGGGUGACCCUGCCACACCGGUGAAAACAUGCAAGUACCAAUUUUCAGUAUUAAUAAUUCCUGCAGAGAGAAAACUGCCGAGAGUGGCCAGUGCAUGCAACAACGCCGGAGAAUGUCUCAGUGUGGGUCACAGACACCUUUCAGUCUCCUCCUGUGUGCUUGUCUCCAAAAGUGGGAGCUACCACGGGGGCUGAUAAACACCAGUACAGAGACAACGUCCAGCUCAGAAAGUCCUGAAGCUGCAGAUCGCGGGAAACCAGGAGGAUUUGCUGGGAAAGGACCUGUCCUUGGGCUCCUUCCCCUGCACCCUGUUAGCUCCUGAGGGUUUCCCCCCAGCACACCAGUACCAGAGGUUACGGCUGUAGCAAACCCAUCCUUCAACUCCAGAAGACACUGCUGGAGAGUCCACGCUCUGACGCCAGUUGGUGACAAGGUGCUUUGCCAGAAGGACCUUCGAUCUGCCUCAUUAAUGGAAUAUUUUCCUUUUAACAGCCAAGAACAUGAACAUGGGGGCAAAACCUCCCAUCCGUCUCUGCCCGCAGCUCCCCAGGGGUAUUGCACAGGUUCAUCCUCACCUGCUCGAGGUGUAAAGUGGCAGCACAGGGCAGGAUGGCCUGGCCAGCCAUCUGCCAUCGUUCACCCCCUCUCUGCCCCAGCCUGGAGCCUUUGUGGUGUCCAGAAACUCAAUAUCUGGGCCCCAAUAUGAACCCUGCACUAGUUGACUUAACCCUGCCUGCUCCAGCAGACCUGCGGGUGAGAGCCGGAGUGAGCACAGCUCAGAAACUCGUCUGACUUUCUGGCACCAUCCUGCCCAAAGCUUCUUUACGCUUUCCCUGCAAGGUAAAUCCUCUACGGUUCUCUGAGAAAAACUCGAGGCAACCUUGGAACAAGUGCUUGUGCCACGUGCAUGCAUACACAGCCCACACGAUUCAAGUGUCCGGCUCCCAGACCAGCUCAUGGACUGAAUGAAUCCAGGCAUGACCAGCCCCAAGCUUCCUCUGGAAAAAAUGACAGGUCAUGGACCCACCUCUCCAGUGCAAUCUUGCAGCAAGCGCAUUUUGAUCUCACCACCAACUCUAACCUGCACUAUUAACAUCAACCAAGGGAUGGUUAGGCACAUCUUGAGCGGUGCUCCAAAGAACAGGUGGAGGAACUUAAAAGGUUUGCAAAGGCUGAGAUGCUGCACCCACCUCACAGGUAUUUUCAGGAGGAGGAAUGUUGUCUUCUCGUCCAGUCUUAUAGAUGACAUGACUUUGGACAUGCACGUACCUUGUGUCAUGUCAGGGCUGUUCACCCCACAGUUGUGCCCGCUCACCCCGGGGAUGAGCCAUGCGGAGGGAACCUGGGACAUAUUCCUCUCCAUCUCUCUUCAAACACGACAGCAGGGACAAGGACAACGCCAAGCGGGGCUUCCUCCACCAACAUCAUCCUUCGCCUGGGAAAUUAAAAAUCAGAGGCGUCACAAAG